AAGACUAUACUUUCAGGGAUCAUUUCUAUAGUUCUUGACUUGAGAAAUGUGUUUCUAAAGUGAUUUGUCUCGCUAACCACGAUGAUGAGUCGUGAUAUUCCUUUGUGAGCUUGACACUAACAGAGUAAUGAUUCACUUCAUAUGCUCUGUCUUUGAUGAUCAUUCUUUGCUUUUUUUUGGAGCAUUGAGGAGAGGAAUAUGUUCAGAGUGGUA
ensembl:snoRNA